GAUGAACGCUGGCGGCGUGCCUAAUACAUGCAAGUCGAGCGAACGGACGAGAAGCUUGCUUCUCUGAUGUUAGCGGCGGACGGGUGAGUAACACGUGGAUAACCUACCUAUAAGACUGGGAUAACUUCGGGAAACCGGAGCUAAUACCGGAUAAUAUUUUGAACCGCAUGGUUCAAAAGUGAAAGACGGUCUUGCUGUCACUUAUAGAUGGAUCCGCGCUGCAUUAGCUAGUUGGUAAGGUAACGGCUUACCAAGGCAACGAUGCAUAGCCGACCUGAGAGGGUGAUCGGCCACACUGGAACUGAGACACGGUCCAGACUCCUACGGGAGGCAGCAGUAGGGAAUCUUCCGCAAUGGGCGAAAGCCUGACGGAGCACCGCCGCGUGAGUGAUGAAGGUCUUCUGAUCGUAAAACUCUGUUAUUAGGGAAGAACAUAUGUGUAAGUAACUGUGCACAUCUUGACGGUACCUAAUCAGAAAGCCACGGCUAACUACGUG
rnacentral:rRNA from 1 species